CUCUGUGCUGAGUCAUGAAAGUUGCCGGAGCAGGUGCAGUUACACAACCUCCAGGUAUGAUCCUGUUUAAGGACUGGAUUUAGGAUAACUACUUAGAGGUUAAAAGUCACAAGGGUGUAUGGAUGAGGCUGGAGUGAUCUGGGACCAAAGACAUCUAGGCUUGCUGUCAAGGCUUCUGAUCAACAUGAGAUGACCGCCGUGUGGUAAACUGAUGAACCCCGACCCUGAUCAACGUGAGAUGACCGCCGUGUGGUAAACUGAUGAACCCCGACCCUGAUGAACAUGAGAUGACCGCCGUGUGGUAAACUGAUGAACCCCGACCCUGAUCAACAUGAGAUGACCGCCGUGUGGUAAACUGAUGAACCCCGACCCUGAUCAACAUGAGAUGACCGCCGUGUGGUAAACUGAUGAACCCCGCCCAUUAGGCUUUGGCUACAGAAUGUGGAAAUAAGUUGUGUUACUACAUGUGUGUAAUCCUAGGGUUCAGGACACAGGCUGGGAGGUUCCAUAGAGUGAUGGGUUGUGCAGGUAACUCAUCCUCUAGUCCUCUGUAAGCUCCUAGAAGGAAGAAAUUAUGUCCUUUAGACUAAUAAAAUUCCUCCAAACCAAAUACAGCACCUACUGUGAAGACACAAAGAUACUUUUAGAAUAGUAAAAACUUUAUCCAUUGAGAAAUUCCUUAAUGAAACAGUAUCCAAGAAGUCAUUUGCCAGCAGAUUUCUUAGAGGUGCGAUAAAGAAGAGGACAUUGCCAGUCGUCACAGCAGCUGCAAUAGCUCCUCUCUAUUGUUAAACAGUGGGAUAUCUUG
rnacentral:lncRNA from 1 species